rnacentral:rRNA from 1 species
AACGAACGCUGGCGGCAGGCCUAACACAUGUAAGUCGAGCGCGCCCUUCGGGGUGAGCGGCGGACGGGUGAGUAACGCGUGGGAAUGUGCCCUUCUCUACGGAAUAGUCCUGGGAAACUGGGGGUAAUACCGUAUACGCCCUUUGGGGGAAAGAUUUAUCGGAGAAGGAUCAGCCCGCGUUGGAUUAGCUAGUUGGUGAGGUAAUGGCUCACCAAGGCGACGAUCCAUAGCUGGUCUGAGAGGAUGGUCAGCCGGAUUGGGACUGAGACACGGCCCNNNCUCCUACGGGGGGCAGCAAUUAGGAAUCUUGCGCAAUGGGCGAAAGCCUGACGCAGCGACGCCGCGUGACUGAUGAAGUCUUUCGGGAUGUAAAGGUCUUUUGCAGGGGACGAAGGAAGUGACGGUACCCUGCGAAUAAGCCCCGGCUAACUACGUGCCAGCAGCCGCGGUAAUACGUAGGGGGCGAGCGUUGUCCGAAUUCACUGGGCGUAAAGCGCGCGUAGGCGGGUUUUUAAGUUGUGGGUGAAAUUCCGAGGCUCAACCUCGUAACUGCCUGCAAAACUGGGAGCCUUGAGGUAUGGAGAGGGAAGUGGAAUUCCUGGUGUAGCGGUGAAAUGCGUNGAUAUCAGGAGGAACACCCGUGGCGAAGGCGGCUUCCUGGCCAUAUCCUGACGCUGAGGUGCGAAAGCUAGGGUAGCGAACGGGAUUAGAUACCCCGGUAGUCCUAGCCGUAAACGAUGGAUACUAGGUGUUAGAGGUAUCGACCCCUCUAGUGCCGCAGCUAACGCAUUAAGUAUCCCGCCUGGGGAGUACGACCGCAAGGUUGAAACUCAAAGGAAUUGACGGGGGCUCGCACAAGCGGUGGAGCAUGUGGUUUAAUACGUCACUAACCGUAGAACCUUACCCAGGCUUGACAUCUAGGGAAUCUGGAUGAAAGUCUAGAGUGCCCUCGGGAGCCCUAAGACAGGUGUUGCAUGGCUGUCAUCAGCUCGUGUCGUGAGAUGUUGGGUUAAGUCCCGCAACGAGCGCAACCCUCAUUCGAUGUUGCCAGCGUAAAGUCGGGAACUCUUCGAAAACUGCCCGUGUAAGCGGGAGGAAGGUGGGGAUGACGUCAAGUCAGCAUGGCCCUUACGCCUGGGGCUACACACAUGCUACAAUGGACGCUAACAAAGGGCAGCAAUACCGCGAGGUGGAGCGAAUCUCACAAAUGCGUCCUCAGUUCGGAUUGUAGUCUGCAACUCGACUACAUGAAGUCGGAAUCGCUAGUAACCGCAGGUCAGCUAAACUGCGGUGAAUACGUUCCCGGGCCU